rnacentral:rRNA from 1 species
UACGUAGGGUGCGAGCGUUAAUCGGAAUUACUUGGCGUAAAGCGUGCGCAGGCGGUUGUGCAAGACAGAUGUGAAAUCCCCGGGCUUAACCUGGGAACUGCAUUUGUGACUGCACGGCUAGAGUGUGUCAGAGGGGGGUAGAAUUCCACGUGUAGCAGUGAAAUGCGUAGAUAUGUGGAGGAAUACCGAUGGCGAAGGCAGCCCCCUGGGAUAACACUGACGCUCAUGCACGAAAGCGUGGGGAGCAAACAGG